GAGGACACAAACUCAGUUCAGAUUUAUUAAGUUCAUCUUAGCAUUUAUUAACCAAAUCAGCGGUUAUUUAAAAGCUAAUUGCUACAGUAAUGAUCAUACAAGUUUUGAACAGUUUAUAGAGAAGAAGCAUGAUAAAACAGCACAUAAGUGAUCAGUGUUUUUACACUGCAGAUAUAGAUGCAAUGUUUUUAUUCAUUCAUACAUGGAUAAAAAGGUGCAGG
rnacentral:misc_RNA from 1 species